rnacentral:lncRNA from 1 species
GGCAUCUCAAUAUUAUCAUGUUACCCCCCGUGGCUAGGCAUCUCAAAUCCGGACAUCAACAUAGUGGAUUGAGAGACAAGUGAUACAUGUCAAUAGCUAUAAUCUGUAUAUUCCUUUUCUUUUUGAUACAGCUGUUAUACAGCUUUGAUACAACUUGAUACAACUUUGAUAUAACUAUGAUACAUGCAUUUCCAACAGGCAUUAUUC